rnacentral:lncRNA from 1 species
CAAACUUAAUUCUGACCCGAUCGUCGUGUAGCCACCGCUGGAAAAAUCCCGCAGCUCGCUCUUCUAAGAUUCAUCCCUUCUCUAAUGGUGCGCAAGCGUUACCAAGAAGCCAAGACAGGUAAACAAAUCUCUCAAAUUUCGCUUUCCAAAGGCAGCUCAUGUCUGCAGAAAGAUUAAGAACGAAGACUUAGUUUGCUAUCUAUUUGAAUUUUCUUCACUCAACCAGCUUGCCCUCCAACUGUUCGACGAAAUGCCUGAGCUGUUUUUUCACAGGAAUCGAGUAUCUAAAAUCAUUGGAUUACGACAAAUACCUGAGCAAAGUAGGCGUAGGAAGAAAUGACUGGUACUUCUGGAA